UUAGCCUUACCGGUGGAUCACUCGGUUCGUGGAUCGAUGAAGAACGCAGCUAACUGCGAUAAUUUAUGUGAACUGCAGAAAUCUUGAGCAUAAAAGUUUUGAACGCAUAUUGCGGCAUUGGGGUCAAGCCCUUUGGCACGUCUGGUUCAGGGUCAUU
rnacentral:rRNA from 1 species